UUUUGGUUUCAAACCAUCCAGUUGGUGGCGGCAAUACACCUUUUUGAAUGUAGUCCGCCAUAAAACCCACAGAAGAAGAAGACGAAUACGAAGAUGAAGAAGAAGAAAGCGAAAACGGAAAAAACGAAAACGACAAAGAAGAAGAAGAAAACAAAGAAGAAGAAGAAAACAAAGAAGAAGAAGAAAACAAAGAAGAAGAAGAAAACGAAGAAGAAGAAAAACAUUUUUGCACGUUUGCAAUUUCCUGCACAUGCAGAGGUUACUUCUGGUUUCUACCACAGUAGCCGCAAUACAGUUUUCAUUGAUACAUCGCACAAUAUUUGGCUACUUUGCAGAUUCAGUACAUUUAUUUAUACAUUUGUUUAGUCAUCAUGUCGGGAAUACCACCAGAUACCUGGCAGCCACCCACAGUGAGCCUGGAGACAACAAUGGGUACAAUUGUAGUGGAACUGUACUGGAGACAUGCUCCCAAAAUGUGCAAAAACUUUGCUGAGUUGGCCAGGAGAGGUUACUACAACAAGUUUCAUCGAAUUAUCAAGGACUUCAUGUUGCAGGGAGGAGACCCCACAGGAACAGAUAAACACAAAUACAGAUGGCCGUGGUGGUGCAUCCAUAUUUGGCAACCAGUUUGAAGAUGAACUAAACCCUGACUUGAAAUUCACAGGUGCAGGGAUCUUAGCAAUGGCCAAUGCAGGACCAGACACCAACGGAAGCCAGUUCUUCCUUACCCUAGGGCCUACUCAAUGGUUGGAUGGGAAGCACAGUAUCUUUGGGAGGGUGUGCCAAGUUAUAUCAGUUGUCAACCGCGUCGGCAUGGUUGAGACGAACUCACAAGACCGACCUGCCGAUGACAUAAAAAUCCUCAGAACAACUGUACCCAGCUGAGACUCAUUCAUACAACCAGCAACUACUUUCUUGUACAGUCAUUUUGUCAUGAUUUAUGCCUUUGAUUAAUUUUGUUAUUCUCAAAUCAAUAAUGUAGCCUAACCAUUGUGGUCAUUAUCACUAAAAUGAUUGAGUGACAUGGUAGAAAUGACACACUUGAGAAUAUGCCUGAUGUUUAUCUAAUGAUUGCAGAUACAUUUCAACCUGAAACUUGAACAGACUACCACUGGAGGGAGACAAACAACAGAACAUACAGUAAUGUUGGUCUUUUUCAUAAGACAUGAUAUAAAAAAAAAGCCUACUCUGUUGUGGACACAUUAUGUUUUGGUUAUAAUGUUUGGUAAUCUCCCUAUAGUUUGAGGGUUAAUCAAGUUCACCUAACACCUACCCUUAGCAGGUGCCAGGAAGUCAUAAACCCUGCCAAUUCCUCACCUUAGAACGUGAUUUUAAACCUAACCUUAACCAUACUGCUAACCUUAUACCUAACCUUAAAUUAAGACCAAAAAACGAAUUAAAUGUUUCAUUAAUUUUUACGAUAUUG